GGACAAUGAUGAAAAACAGUAACAAAACACACCAUCUUCCAGGACUAGUUGGUGCACUCAAUGUGCCAUGUUGCCUAAUACGCAAUAUUGAUGUCC